AUGCUGCCACUCGACCCACACCGUCAAAAAAAAUAUAGAAACAACGACCCACGCGCACACGUUCACACGUUCCUCACCCCACCCUUCUCGCUCCCGAUCCCAUCUCCCCACCGGCCUCAACUUGGCUAUGGCGACGGGGAGACGAGGAUCAACAACUCCUCUCCUUUGCCUUCUCCAUCACCGCCCGCCGCCCGCCACACGCCUCCCCGCGUCCCUCCUUCAUCCCCGUCCCCGAUUGGGCCGCCGCCGCCACCGCACCAUCAGGGGACACCGUCGGAGUGCAACCACAGUGCCGCCAGGGUACGCCGCGUGUACCGGCCGGCAAUGCAUGAGACGCCGCGGCUGCAGGGCAACGCCGGACGAGCAGCGCACGAAGCAGGUGCAGGUGGCGGUUCUGGUCAGAAGGAGGCAGCACGGGGAGGGGGGCUUAGGCGGGUGAAGGGAGGCCGUGCGGCACCGAAGGGAGAGGUCGUCUGCGGUGGUUACCGUGUAUAUUCUGACCAUGUUGUCCGGCCACGCCUACACGUCGGAGGUCUUGGAGAAGAUUGGCCUCCUUCAGCGGCUUGUGACCCCAGGCCCCCAACACUGAUGAGGCUUCAUGGCGGUUACAGCAAACAGUGCAUCCGCUUCGACUGGUUAAUUUUCUGCGUGCCAAAGAGGGCCUCGACAAGACAACAAUUCCAACUGUUAAUCUAUUCCCAUGGGAACAUAGCAACACAACAAGAAAAAGGGGUUGUGCAAGAUGUCAAGAUUAUUGUGAAGAUGAAAAACUUCUACCGAAGGCGAGAGCUUUAUAGUUUUGGGAUUCAUCUGGUGGCUUCCAUGAAACAUCAUCUUUUGUUGAGGACAUGUGCAAAAGAUUUCAUUAACAAAGGUGGCUUCAAGAAGUUUAUUCCGUUACUUGAUGGCGUGGUGAUAAUGAAAGAUGUCGGGCAUUUCAUAAAUGAAGAAAAGCCAGAGGAAAUUAGUGGGCUCAUAAUCAGCUUCAUAAAGAAAUUCAAUUUGGUGUGUUCCCUUUCGUGCGCUCGAGCGCUUCAAUGGGCUGGCCCAUUAAGAAUUGUAGGAAGGGAGGAUGUUGAGGACGUAGCAUUUCUUUCUGAUGUCUCCGUCGCCGCCGGUGAGCACGCCUUGACCCGGUCCAUGUUGGUGCCACGUUGUGUCAAAUGUUCGACCCGGUCCAUCACGCGAAACGCCUCCACCUUGAUCCAACGCGCCGCCGCCUCCUCCGUGAUUCAGAUCCUAACACAACCCGCCCUCUCCCUCCCUCAGAUCUUGAUCCGCCACCGCCCCUACCCCCAACAUCGACGACCCCUCACCGUAGACGAGAUCGCCGCGUCUCCUCCUCCCCUCUCCCGCGUCCCACCCUGCACCCUCGGCUGCCGCCUCGCCCUCCACAGCGCCGCCUACGGCAGCUACCUGACGUCCAUGGACGCACCGGCGCCGCUAGGCCACCGCGGGUGCCGCGUCGAGCAGCGUGACUACGAGAAACGGGAGGAGGAGGACGUCAGGUGGCAGCCCAUCAGGCUCGUGCCCAGGGACUACAUCCUGCUCCGCCACGCUAGCGGCUGCUUCCUCCGCGCCAACAGGAAGUACCUCCCUUGGAACAAUGGCGCCAGCAUCGACGACUUCGACACCGUCAGCAUGAUGACUCACUGGGUCGUGGAGCGCAUCCCAGCCAGGGAGGGCAUGCCUGAGGUGAGCCCUCUUCUUAAUUAUUCCCGAAUUUGCACAAAUUUGACUGGUAGAGGAGCAACAAAUGGAGAAAACGACUUUGAACCAGGUCUUCCAGAUUUUGAUCCUGUUAAGCAUCACAACAAUUGCUGUCCAUGGGUCAAUGGGAUUGUUGCAGCAGCUUGCUGUUAUGAUACUAGUUCCAGCUCAGGCAGUCCAGAACUUUCUGGCUGGCAGCUAACUACCGAUGCAAUUGAUACAUUCCAGUCUCUUGGUCAAUCUCAAAAUCAAACUAUGCGGUCUGAAUCUGCAGCCUCGCUAAAGAUGAUAGUAUUAAUAAUCUUUGACAUUUUGUACUACUUCCUCCUGCUAGGGUUUCGGUGGUGGGGGUGGAACUCUUCGUUGCGCACGGCUGAGAUGAACGUCCUCGGCGGUGGUGGCGGCGCGUGUGAGAUCCUCCUCCAUGACAAGGCCGCCGCCGGAUCAGCUCCUCUCUGCCGAUGGAUCCUCGCCUCUCCGACAUGGCCGCCACCGGAUCCCCUCCUCUCUAAUAGCAACACCUCCGGAUCCACUCGUCCUCGACAACAAUGGCACCGAGGAGCACCAGGAGCUUCGGAUCCGUGCUAUAGAAUGCCAUCUAGGAUAUCUGUUAAGCCACUUGCUCACCAGAAGAAGGCUGUGAAGAUCUUCCCCCGCCCUACCUCUGGACCUCUUCGCCCCAUCGUGCAAUGCCAGACCCACAAGUACAACAUGAAGGCCAGGGCUGGCAGGGGCUUUACCCUUGAGGAGCUUAAGGUGAUUAUCAUUCCUUUGCUCUAUUUCGUUGUCUCUGAAGAGCCUAUCCAUGAUGCAACAUCAUCUGAUCCCAUAAUUGGUUUAUAA
rnacentral:rRNA from 1 species